rnacentral:piRNA from 1 species
UUUGGCAUACAGCAAGCAAGAUGAUC